rnacentral:rRNA from 1 species
AAUACUCCUGACUGACCGAUAGUGAACCAGUACCGUGAGGGAAAGGCGAAAAGAACCCCGGCGAGGGGAGUGAAAAAGAACCUGAAACCGUGUACGUACAAGCAGUGGGAGCACGCUUAGGCGUGUGACUGCGUACCUUUUGUAUAAUGGGUCAGCGACUUAUAUUCUGUAGCAAGGUUAACCGAAUAGGGGAGCCGAAGGGAAACCGAGUCUUAACUGGGCGUUAAGUUGCAGGGUAUAGACCCGAAACCCGGUGAUCUAGCCAUGGGCAGGUUGAAGGUUGGGUAACACUAACUGGAGGACCGAACCGACUAAUGUUGAAAAAUUAGCGGAUGACUUGUGGCUGGGGGUGAAAGGCCAAUCAAACCGGGAGAUAGCUGGUUCUCCCCGAAAGCUAUUUAGGUAGCGCCUCGUGAAUUCAUCUCCGGGGGUAGAGCACUGUUUCGGCA